rnacentral:lncRNA from 1 species
GUGCAGUGGAUAUACUAAUAGCAAUGUAUAGUGAUGAGGGAGAGGUGCAAAGAGGUGCAAUUGCACUUUAUCUCGUCGAAUGAUACUGUGGAGGUGGUAAAUUUUGCCCUUCUGGUUUGCUUACUAAUUGUUUGAGUUUUUGCCUGAGUGAAACUUUUUUGUAUUUGAUGCGCUGCUGGGUGUUUGUGUUUGUUGCGUUCCUGCACUGCAAGCGCAAUGCGUGCUUUUUUUUUUUUUUUUUUUUAAAGUCCUAGCUCAAAACAACGUGGUUUCGGACCAAACAAAAAAAUAUAUAUAUAUAUAUGUAAACCUGAACGAAGCCUUACCCAACACGAAUCUGUAUAUAUCCUAUUAAUAAAGAGCGGAGGGGAGCCCGGCCCAAGCAAUUCAAUUCAAUUCAAAAUUGAAGAACAAACUCCGUUGUUGAAGUUGCGCUUGCAACUAUCAGAUUCAGACCCAAUCCUUCGCAAGGUCUGAGACUUUUUUGCUUAUGUUAUUGUUUUCUUCUUCUUUUUUUCUCUUCUAGGGUUUUUUUUUUCCUUCUUCUUUUUUUUUUUUUUAUAAUUUUUUUUUGGCUUUCUCUGUAUUCUUAUAAUCAGUAGCGAACUCGAGAGGGAAGAGCCUGAGCAGCGCAUGACUCGAUGUAUGAUCAAUUAUAAUUUGUUUAUUUAAUUGAUAAUUUGAUAUGCAUUUUGAUUAGGUUAAUUGAUAUUUAUUUUCGUUAGAUUAAUUGAUAUUAUUUUUUGUUAGUUUGAUAUGAAUUUUGGUAGAGUAAUUGUGUAAUUAACAUGAAUUUUGUUCAUAUUAAUUGAUAUACUAUAACCACUAUAGUCAAUUAGUUAUAGACCUAAAAUCUUUAUAAAUUUUGUUGUUGCUGAGCUUUUAGCAUUUUAAAAUUGCCCCUUCCUUGAAGAAUUCAUGGAUCCGCCACUGGUUGUAGUGGUGGAGAUGGGUGAAGAUUUGUUAGAAAACUAGUAGUUACAGUGUCAUGGAAGUUCAGGAAAAAUACUUGCCUCAUUUUCAUGGAAGUAGGAACUUCUAUUGUCUUGUCAUUCAAAGUUUGACACAUAUAUACAUAUUUUUUUUGUUGUUGUUGUAUUUUUUAUGAAAUAUUUUUGCAUUGUCAAAAUGUGAUUUGUAAGAAACGAGGGAUGUGUAGUGCCCAUUUUUAAAAUGACAUCACUAGCAAAACACAAAAAAAGAUCAAUGCGCAUGAUAUUGGUGUCCACAAAAGAGGUUUGUUUUUGGUGCCCAAUUUAGUUGUUGGGCACUAGAAGUGCCAAUACGAACUUUUUUUUAGAUGCCAAUAUUAAUAUAAAUCCCUUUCGUGGAUAUCAAUAUAAGAUGUUGAUAUUAUACCAUAUUUGUGGGAAUGAGAAGAAAAAAAAAGUUUUUUUCAUGACUAAUCAAUCUUCUACCUCAUUUCUUAAUUCAACAUACUUCUGAUUUUGACAAUAAAAUAUGUUCUGAAAUGGAAAUCAAGAAUGAAAGUAUGUUGCAAUUGAUUAAGUUUUGAGCUUGACCAUGGUCAAGGUGAGAAAGACUUCCAUGAAAUGAGAGUAGCACAAUGUUGUUAUCUCAGUCAAUAACUGUUAGUAUUGAUUUUGUGAUUGACAUUUUCUAGAAACAAAUUAGACUAAGUAUAGACAGUAAAUUAGUUAUGAUGGUGGCUGUCAAAAUUCCAACAUAUGCUCUGAAGGCUUAUAUGUCAACUAACGAUCACUAAGGUAAAUUCUUCAUUCAAUCAUGCAUCCUGAUUGUGGUAUUUCAAGCAUUAUUUCAAACUCACAAUCUGAUUAACUUUUUGAUUAGGAAGACUUUUUAUUUUAAGAAAGAUUAAUUAAUUUUAUAAAUUGCUUUCUAGUUUUGAACAUUAAAAGUCUUCUUUGAUUGGAAAUCAAUUAGUCUGAUUUUGAAAAAUUAAUCUAUUGAUUAGGAACUAAUUGAUCUUGUUUCCAGUUUUGAAAACCAUUAUAAAAAGUAAUGCUUGGUUUUCAUUCGUUCAACAACUUUCAACGACUAGAGUAUUUCUUGAGUUUUCAUAUACACAAAAGAAAGUUGUUGUGCUUUAUUUUCCAGAAAGAUAAAUCAUCAAGAGUAAGAUUAUCUUGGUGAUUUAUCUUUGUAUUCAUAUUGCAUUCAUUUGCAUGUUCGGUGACUCAUACGGUUGAGGGUACUAAGACAGUUAUGGCAAUUUUUCUUUGUUGAGCUUGAAUCGAUCGUGACCAGUAUCGGAUUCAACAUAAGGAGAGUUGGAAGAACUCCGACGAGCUUGAAGCAAUCAUGACCAGUAUUGUGUUCAACAUAAGGAGUGUGGAAAGAUCAUCCCGCGAGAAGUUAAGUUACGAAGAAGUUGGUACGUUGUCUAGAGUGUCUACGACAAGUUUGUAUACUUCUUGUAAUCAUCAUUUUAUAGUGGAUUUGCCUUGGACUAUCAGGUCCCGUGAAUUUUCCCCAGAGGUGGGGUUUUACCACGUAAAAUAACUUCUGUGUUUUUAUAUGUUUUUACGUUAUGUACUGUAGAGGAUUGAUACAUUGUAUCAAUCCCUUUGGCGUGUUUUUAUAUAUUAUGUAUUACUCUUGACUAUUCAAAACGCAGACUUUACUCUUUUAGUGUUUUAUGCCAUCCUAUAGGUAUUUUCAAUAACACUAUGACUCUCACACGUUUUGUAGUUGCUUCUUGUUGUUUUGUUUCUCAUCCAGAAAUAAAAUAUCAUGAUACUUCAUUAAUAUAAAGGAUAAUAGUCAAUAAGAUCGGAAGCCAUGUGGGAACCAAGCGAUUCAACUACUGCAAGGGGUUUAUAGCUCGACUCGAGUAGUUAUUUAUUUCUGUACCCGAAGUCAUGUGUUCAAAUCCCCUCCCGUGUUGAUUGUAUAAAAAACAAAACAAAAAACACUAUUUGUAAUGACACGUUGGAAAAUAAAACGUAGAGUAGAAGGCUUAACACGUUUUCUUCUUCUUUGGUAUUUACAGUUAUGGUAUUUUCCCCAUUUUUAUUACUGUAGAAUAUGUGCUCUUCUCUGAAUGAUGCUAUUGCCAGCUGAUGCUAUCAUUUGGCUAAUUUAAGAAUUUGGGAAAGUUGAGGGAAGGAGAGGUUGAACUACUUUGGAUUUGAAGACCUAAUAAUAGUAAUAGAAUAAUGAUGUCGUGGGAGUUUGAUUGGAGUGUUAAUAUGAGCAUCAUCAUACAUUAUACAUGUGUAGACAUAUGAGCAAUGAGCAUCAUCAUACAAAUACACAUGUAAAAGUCAUAAUGUAAGACUAGAUCAAACAAGUUUCAUGUAAUUAGUUAGUUAAUUAUGAACACUAGUUGUUUUUUCAUGCAUACCAUAAAAGUUAAAAGUCAUGAUGUAGGUUAAGAAGAUUAGAUCAACAUGUCUUUUUCUCAUACAUUAAAAAUUAAGUCAUCGAUUGUAUGAGUUAUGAAGACUAGAUCAAACAAGUACAUCAGCAUCUUUUCCUGGCUCGGAUAUGGCAAUAAUUUAUAACAAGUAUGUAUGAGUUGCAUAUGUUCGGUUUUAUCUUUUCCAAAUAUCGCUUGUAUAAAUUUUUUUAAGAAAAAAACAUGAUUCAAAAUACUUACCAUUGCUUUAAAAAAAAUAUAGAUUCAAUUUGAAAAAUCGGACCAUUAUACCGUGCUUUUGUUUCGUCAACUGUAUCCUACGCGUUUGGAUGAGUUUUAGAUGAUUAACUCUAUGUUCACAUUAGCAUAUUCGAGAAAAAUAGAUUGAUGGUUGGAUUCAUUCCAAUUGAGUGAUUUGCAUAUGAAAGGAUAAAAAAAAACGCAUGACGACAUUUGCCAUUUUCUUAAUUUUUAAAGAUGUUUGGUGCAUACUUGGGCUUAUCUAAGUUGGUUAGAGCGGAUGUACUCCUCACUCUGCACUCGAGUUCAAAUCUCUCUCCUCGUAUUUUAGAUUAGUUUGAAGUAGAAUAUCGUUUGUAUAUAAUUAUAAAUAAAUAAAAAGAUGUUUAGUAAUAAUAUUUCCCUUAGAAAAAAUCAGAGAAAAAAUCAACAUUUUUCGUUCAUACUAAUUUUUUCUUAUUUGUAGCCUACCAUUUUUCUUCUAGAAAAUGCUAGGGAGAUACAUCUUGUACACCACCUAUCUAAUAGAAGUGAGACCUAUUAUAUUGGGCUUCACCUAUCUUUUCCUUUUUGAUAUUGCUUGCCUCAUUCCUUGUAAGGAGAUACUCCUCCUUUCUGCAAAUCACAGUUUGACACAUGCAAAAAUAAUUCAUCAAAAACACAAAAAGAAAAACUUAUGCACACAUGUCACACUGUUAUUGGCAAGAAUAUAGGGGCUCCUGCUUACAUGGAAAGGAGGGAAGUAUUUUCCUUUCAUUUUUAGCUAAAACCCGAUAACUAGGAUCUAACUAAAGCAAAUGACCAAAUUAAGCUUAGCGUGUCAAAUAUUAUAUUUUCACAUUUCUAAAACACCCCUAAUUACAUUUUGUCGUGUUUUAUGGGUUAUAUUUUGUUUAGACAUUUAGAUUUAGGGACCCUUUCAACUUAAAUAGUCUAGAUACAAACCUACCUACUUUUUUUAUUUCUAACAAAAACCCAUGUAUUAUAAAUUACUUACAAUCCAUGCCAUAAAAUAUCCCACAGUGCAUUUACCAUUUGAAAUCCGUUAUUUUUAGCCCUUCCUUCCUUUCUAAUUUAAUGGGCAUUCAAUUUGAUAAGGGAUAACAACUUAAAAAGAAGCAAAUAAAUCAGUUUUGGCGAUAUAUAUUUUUCAUGAAUUUUGAGAUGUUUGGGACUGCUUCUAUAUGAAGUACUUCUACUCAUAAGUGCUUUUAGUAGGAGAACGUCGAAUCCAAGUGAAGAAGCACUUGACAUACGCUUCUUAGGAAAACGCUUUUAUUACCCACAAGCAUUUCUAAAUUUUUUGCUAACCACAGUCAGGAGCGCUUUUGGUUGUUAGAAAACACUUUCAACAAUUUUAGAAGAACUCCCGAACAUACCCUUAGUGUACCUAAAAACCAAAUUUGUAAAUUAAUUUCUGACAAAAUCAUAGGGAUCAAGAAUUGUAUUAAGCAAGCAAACUAUUAAACAAAACAAUAAUGCUACAGGAAUUAAUGUAACUUUCUCACCAACUGAUGUGGAGGAUAAUAUGACAGUCCACAUCACGUGGCAUGUCAUCAAAUUAAUUUAUUUCACUUUUUUUCUUUUCUUUAUAAAAAUAUAUAAAUCCUAGACUUCCUCCAUAACAUAAACUUUCAAAGCCGCCAUGGAUGAACGAUUUCCUAGGGGUGUUCAAGAUUCAAUUCAAUCCGCCUAAACUGAGUGAUUCAAUUCAUGUCUAAUUCAGUUUUAAUCGGUUUCGAUGAUUUAGAGGAUUGAAUUGGAUCCUUCAAUUCCAAAACCGACAUGAUUGGAUAUAUUAUAAUACAAUAACUUUUAUUGUGAGAAUCCAAUCAAGUCCAAUACUGUAACACCCCGACUCCAAAUUUAAUAUCUAUUUUAAUUGAUUUAAAGUGAAAUUACGAAUUUACCCUUGGGGUAGGGGUAAAUUGGUCAUUUUCUUAUCCAGAAGGAUUUUGGGACCACGACUGGUAUUUUUGGGUAGGUGGUACUGAGACGAAUUCGUAGACAAGCGGUAGGCUUGAAACGGAGUUGUAACGAAGAUUUGGCAAUCAAAACAUUAUCAGUGGCAAAACUGUAAUUAUUUCAAAAAGGAUUAGAGUAAAAAUCUGAUUUUUCAUUUUUACCUCACACUCUCUCUUUCUUCCGAUUCUCUCUCUCUUUCUCUCUCCCACGUCGUCGUCCUCCCCCUCCCCGUUACUGUUCACCGAGACGGAAACCACCGCACCGCCGCCACAUUCGACCACCCCAGCCCGUUCGACUUGUCGUGAAGCCCCGAACCAGAAUCACCCAGUCUCCUAGUCGGAAAACCUCGAGAAUCGCUGACGAUCUCGAUUGGUUCAAACCAGAGACUUUCUGUCAUCACGCCGCCGUCUCCGCCGCCCAAACUCGAUGAUUGAGGUGAGGUUUCUUCCUCUUUUUCCGAGUUCUAGCUGACUGAUGCAUAGGUUUGGAUCGAUUUGCUGGGUAGAAACUGAUUUUGUAAACCCAGGUUUUGGCCGAAUUUCAAAGUGAAAUUCCGGCCAGUUGUCAUCCGAAUUGGACUUCCCUAUGGUUGAAUGAAGUGAUCCUGACCUUGAUUAGAAGCUAGGAUAGGAAGGGUGAGCUCGGGUGUAGAGUUUUUCCGUCACCGGAAUUUACUCUACACACCCACGCACUACCGGCGCGUGUGGCAGCUCGGGUGCGAGGCUAGUGAAGUUGCAAUUUGGCCCGAUGAGAUCCUUAGGUUGUAAUAACCCAAAAUAAAAUAUCUAAAAAGAAAUAAAAUAUCUAAAAAGUAGGAUUAAUAUCUUCUAGCAAAAAAGACAAGUUUGCCCUCGCAUAUUUUAAUAGGAGAAAAAAAUUGACUUUUUGAUCGAGAAAGAAUUUGGAAAUUCCGUUUGCGCCAUUGCGUAGAUCACGACGAAACGAGUCCGCAGACACGAAGUAGACCCGAAUCGGAGUUGUAACGAAGAAAAUACGAUCAAAAUAACGCGAAAGGCAAAAUGGUAAUUGGGUCAAAAAGUCAGAUUUUUAUCCCUUCCUCCCCUUCUCUCUCCUCUACCUCUCUCCUCCCGAUUUCGCCCCAGCCCAUGACCCCCGUGCCUUCCUGACGUCGCACCGGCCACCACACUUGGAGCCGAUCUCCGAGACUGGUGCCAAACGAACCACCACUCGACCGCCGUCAUUUCUUGACCAGCCGCCGCCCUUUCCGUGGCCGGACCUCGCUGGACAACGCCAUUGUUGCCGAAUUUUCAGUUCAAACUUCCAGCUCAGUUUUCUCCUUCAAUUCUCCACCAAAUCGAUCGAGUAAGGUAUGGUUUCUCAGCUAUUUUUCGUGGUCUAACUGAUGGAUAUAUGGGUUUCGAUCGAUUUUGGCUCUAGAACGUUCGAUUUUCAACUUGAAAAUCGGCCGAAACUUCGGCCGCCGUGAUCUACUGUUUCUGGUCACUUUUUGGGGUAUGUUCAAGAACAAAAGUGACUCCAAAUGGGGUGUUUUACCUAGGAUAGGAGUUUGGAGUCUUGGUUCUGAGAUUUUUCGACCACCCGAAAUCGCUUAGGACACCCAAAUCUGCCUGCGCGAGGCGGCGUGUGGGCGAGGGUGGUGGAGUAACUCUGGGAAGUUUUGAGAUCCUCGUGUCGUUACAAGUGCGUAGGAUUUCGCGGAUCUCGAUUCGGAGUCCGUUUGAGCCCCGAACGAAUUUUCCAUAUCGCGCGAUCCUUGGGUGCAGUGUCGUCUAAUCGUCGGAUCGCACUGAAUUUUGGAUAUGUCGUACUACAUGAUUCCAGGAUCGUGUAGGAUUCAACGGAUUGCGAAUCGAAGUCCCGGACACUCCGAAAUCGCGAACCCUGGGGCUAGGGUUUGGAUUUUAAGCGAUAACGCGAUUUCGGCUAAUCCGACCGUCCGUUUCGGACCGAAUUCGCGGAACAUAGUUCCUUCUCUAUGAGGAAUCUUCAGAGAAGCCCAGAUUGGCCAUCGGAGAUCAUGGACCCCACGGGUCCCGGGUCGGCCGAUCUGGCAGUUGAUCGCUUAACUAAGCGUCGGGUCUUCCAAAACUGAUCUAAGAGUCUGAAAGGCUAAUGUGGGUAUAAGAGAAAUUUUUUUAACAAGUGCGCGUAUUUCUAGGAGCCAGGGGCAGGGUGUUUAAUUUAAAUUCUUUUUAUUCAGCAGUUUAUUAAUUUAUUAUUCAUGGUUAAUCAGGCACCAGAAGUCCAGUCGACCUACAGGAGGGACCUUCAAGAGGUCCAGCGAGCUCGGACCAACUGUGAGUGGACUUUCUUUCAUAAAUGAUUUUAUAUAAAUGAGUUAUAUAAAGCUUUUUAUAAAUGAGUUUAUAUGAGUAAAUUUCAUUAUUUGAUUUUGAAUAAGUUUUACCGAAUGUUUUCCGAGCAUGAUUUGUGCCGUAAAAAUAUCUUUAUUUCUAUGCUGCUUAGUUGAACAUGGUAGAACGUGACAGAAAGCAGAGUUGAGAGUUAUAUCAGAGAAAAUAGCAGCUUAGUUUCAGAUUUGCCAAAUACAGUGAAUUAUCAGAUUUUUCUAAAUUAGAACCACCAUGUACCCGCUUGUUUUUGGUGAUUACCCUCAGACGGACCGAUGUCUACGGACAUCCAGUCUGUUUACAGUUCUGUCAGUGCACUUGACAUUACCUCACGAGUUUCGGGGACGCUCGGACUGUGAGUGCCAGGAUUUGCGGCUCGGCUGACUCUGUGUCCCCGAGACCUGCCAGGAUUUACGGCUCGGCAGACUUGGUGUCCCGAGACCUGCCAGGAUUGCGGCUCGGCUGACUCUGUGUCCCCGAGACCUGCCAGGAUUGCGGAUCAGGCUGACUGCGGUCCCCUAUAUCUUGCCAGAGCGGCUCGAGUCGACUUGGUGUCAUCGGGACCUGCCGGCGGAUCAGGCUGACCAUAGUCCCCUGAUUUCGCCAGUUUGCGGCUCGGGUAGUCUGCGUGACGCCCGAGACCUGCCAGGGGAAUUGACGGAUUUUCAGGGGUACACUCAGGUGGUAGUUUUAAAGCAAUUUGAGCACUUUUAUGCAGCUAUUGUUUUUCAAUCAUCUUAUAUCAGUUUUCUCAAUAAACGUGCAUGUUUUAUCUCUUCAUAUAAUUGUUCAGCUUUACGAAUCUAUAUACAUACUGUUACAUAUUUAUAUUUAGAGGAAUACUUUAUAUUAAACACAGGUGAACUUUAGCUUUACUUAUCAAGUUAUUUUUACUAUGGAGGUUAUUAUGAUUGUAAACUGAUUUCAAGAACAUUAUUUUUGUCCACUCACAUUUUCAAACUUGUUUUUCGCCCCCAGGCCGUAGAAGUACGCAGGAUCCACCACCGGGCCAUUCAUAGCUUCCGCGCCACCAAGUAAGGUAGAGUUUUGUAGAAAAUGCUCUGAUAUCUAGUUUUAGUGGAAAACUGGAGCUGGUGAAUACUUAGUUAUUCUCUUCUGGCAGUUGGUGUAGAUUUAUUUGUUUGUUGGACAGGUGGAAAGAUCUGGGUUUGGUCAAAUUACAGGGGAGACUCUGCCGAAUUUUCGGCAGAAGUCUAAGGGAAAUUUUAAAAGAAUUUUGAACGAGAAGGGUAAGAAGGUCUUUUGUGCCCGACAUUCGCCAGGUGUCGGACACGCACAGGACUUGGCUCGAAUUUCAAAGCAAAAAUUGGGUCGGAACCUGUCAUAGGUUGUCACGAGUGCAUAGGAUUUCGCGGAUCUCAAUUCGGACGUCGUUUGACUAUCGAACGAAUUUUCACAUAUUGUGCGGUAUCCGGGUUCGAUAGGUUCUGACCAUUAGAUCUUUUUCCAAUUAAAAUAUGUUGAUCUAGGUAUUCCUAGGACCAUGUAGGAUUUCACGGAUUAUGAAUCGGAGCCCCGGAUGUUCCGAUUCAAUAAUGCAAAGUUGUGGGUUAGCGAUAACCGUACAAUCGUGAACGAUUCCUAAACCUGUAAUCGGACCUUAGGAUACCUCCUUCAACGUACACGUACUGGGAAUUUGGGGAUUUAAGUAUUUAAUUUGUGAUUUCCGCUUUGACGUAAUAUUAUAUUAAUAAAGGGUUCGUAUCUCGAAAUAAGUGUUUCGACUUCACGUACUCUGCAGGCAGGACCCUCUCGUGGUCAGGCAGCGCGGGAAUAUUUGUGAGUGGACUUUGUUUUCAAUCAUAUGCAUGGUUUUAUUGAUGAAAGAUUUAUGCAUAAUGUUUUAAUGGUUUAUUGAAUAUAUUAUAUUCUUGAGUUGAAUUUGAUGUUUGUAUACCGCUUUGGCAAUAUAUUGUGGGUUUGACAUAUUUGGGUAUCGAGAGUAUAUUUUAUAUGGAUUUUGGGGAAGUAUAUAUAUAUAUAUAUAUAUAUAUAUAUAUUCUCUAUAGGUGAGAUACUUGGGUUGUUGAAGUGAGUUGUGGAAGAACUUGAAUAUGAGGGGUUGUUGAGAGAAGUUGUAUGAUUACACUAUGUAAGUACCUUCCCCAGUUAUUAAACUUUCCACACGCGGCGUUGGAUGUUCCGGCGUGUGAGACACUUUCCAUAAGCGGCGUUGGAUGUUCUGGCGUAUAGAAAGACUCUGUAUAUUAUUUAGGGUCAUUACCCAUGACGUUGGAUGUUCCGGUGUGUGAUGAUCCAGUCUGCGCGCGUAGGACAUAGUUUGGGAGCUACACAUGGCUUUGGAUGUUCCGGUGUGUGAGCUUUGGAGUUUCGUCCCCCGGUUGGACCGCUCAUCCCUAGACGCAGGAUAGUACCUGAAAAUCCUGCGGGCUAGUCAAACGAUCUCUCAGUUGGAUUGUUUCCCCGGUACCUAGGUAGUGUGAUUAGUAUAUUGUAUAGCUAUGUAUAGUGUUAUAUAUAUAUAUUUAUAUGUAUAUUUAUAGUUGAGAGAGGGAAGAAAUUAGAGUUUUUCAGUGGUUUUGGCAGGAGUUGCAAGAUUGUCGGAAUGGGGAUUAUGGAUGAGAUGACUUAUGUUUUAAAGAAUUUUAAAUGAAAUAUGCUUUGAAUAAUUCAAUAAUGAAUUGUGAACCUGCAUGUCUUGAGCAUUAUUUUUACAUGGUGGGGUUACUAUAUUGUUUUAACUGCAAAUCUUGUUUUUGUCCACUCAUAUGUUUUCUGUUUUGCGCCCCCCAUUCAGUAAUCGCUCCAAGAAGCGUGCAAGUGGUGUACGAGGCUCGAACCGUGAAUUUUCCUAGUUAGGAUUUGAGUAAUUUCUUCUACUCAACUGUUCUUGUAAUCUAAAUUCAGUAGAUGCUCUGUUAUUGCCCAUGGUAGAUUUUACUUGUGAGGCCGGAGGGCAUUUAGUAUGUUUUGAUGGAUUAUGAAAGCAUGCUGCUGAUUGGGAUUAUUAUUUUAUGUAUGUUGUAGGUUGAAAUUUUUGUUGAGUUUGCUUAAUUUACAGUGGGGACUCUGCCAAAAUUUUGGUAGAGAGUCUCGGUUUUUAGUAAUUGGGCCCGGCAUCGGGAAGAUGUCGAAACAAAGACGGGAUUCGCCUCGGUUUCAGGGAAAUUCUGGAGUGGGUCCUGUCAAAUACAAUCCAAUGUAGUUAGUUUCAUGCAUAUUUUGGUCAUGUAGGAACGUAUAUGAACAUUUUAAGUAAUUUGAUGGAGUCAUGUUUAACAUAUUAUGAAAUCAAACCAAUUUUCUCUAGCAUUUCAUUUAUAUUUUAAAUUUAAGUCUAUUAAAAUGGUUGAUUAGAUUAAACUUGACGAUAAAUAUUUCAUAUUUUAUUAUUGUGUUUUUAUCCAAUCCAAUCAAACCUAUGAUCCAAUCGGAUUGGAUUGGGAAAAUCAUAAUCCAAUAAAUAUUAGUAUUGAACCAACGCACAACCCUACAGUUUCCAACUUGAACAGAUCGCAUGAUCAAUAAACUUAAUGCUCUGAUUGCCUACAAUGAGUUGAUGGCCGACGCAAGUCUAUUUUCCUUUCAUCUCAUAUUUAUUUUAAAUGUUAAAUUUAGUUUUCAGAUCUUCUUCAUAGAUUUGAAGACAAUUCUGGGUCGCACACAUGAUUAAUAUCCUUGAUGAUAUGAAACCCUGGCCAAUUCCUACAGGCGUUUAAAAAUUAAUGGAGUUUUUGAAUGUUUUAAACACAUAACCUCGAGUACAAAGUAACUUCUUUUAACCACUUGGGUUACAAGCCAUUUGCAUGAUAUUUGACAUUUUGAAUAGGCUUAAAAAGCUUAUAAAGUGUCAAAUUGCCGUUUAACCCAUUUGACAUUUCUCUUAGAGAUGCUUUAAGGAGAAAAUCCAACUUAGUAGUGUCUUUUUAAUGGAUAUGUUUCAGGGCGCUAUUUACUUGUUUAAGGCAGGUGUUUGGCCAAUUUAGGGCUCUUUUAUUUGUGGUUUUCAUUUUCUGAUUUUUUUUUUCUUGGCCUAGACUUUUGUCAGUGACGUAAUAGGAACGUUCUUGUACGGUAAUGCAAACAAAUUUCCACAUUUCCCAUUAUAUAUACACCCACCAUCAUCCCCUCAUCCCCUCAUACAUAUCCUUGGCAGCCAUAAUAAUUAGUACAAUUCUCUCCAAACCAAUAUGGCGUUGUGCAGGAUUAUUUCACUAUCCCUCGUUUGCAUUUUAAGCUCAGCCCUUCUCCAAUCCACUCAUGCCCAAGACACACCGCAAGACUACCUCCUUGCCCACAACAACGCUCGGGCGGCAGUUAAUGUCGGGCCGUUGUCAUGGGAUGAUGAUUUAGCAGCCUAUGCACAAGACUAUGCCAAUCAACACAUUGGCGACUACGUUCUUGUGCACUCUGAUGGACCCUAAGGCGAAAACUUUGCUGGGAGCACCGGUGACUUGUCGGGCACGUCUGCCGUGAACCUGUGGAUGGCGGAGGAGGCCGACUACGACUACGACUCUAACUCAUGUGCCGACGGCAAUGUGUGUGGGCAUUAUACGCAGGUCGUUUGGAGCAACUCAGCUCGUCUGGGGUGUGCAAAGGUGACGUGCAACAGUGGAGGUACCUUCAUCGGGUGCAACUAUGAUCCACCAGGCAACGUUGUUGGGCAGAAGCCUUACUAAAACCACUAUAUCCAAGCUUUCAUUUUCUCCAUAUCAGUAUUAUCUGAUGGAUAAAAAAACUAUGUUAUAAAGAAUAAAAUGAAAUAAGAAGUGACCGUCGAUCAAUUCCUUUUGCAUCUUAUCCACUGGCAUGGUGGAGGCUAAUAAACUUGGGUUGAUAUGAAGAAUGACUUGCUUAGACAUAUAUGAAUGCAUGCUGCGUCCAAAGUUUCUUGAUCCCCAUAUAAAUUUGUAUUAUUUUAUCCAUGAAAGAUUUAUUAAAGUUGUGAAAAUUAUAAAGGGUACAAGAACACUUCAAUAAAGAGUCGCGCCACGAAACAGAGAAGAAGACAAUCUGGAAACCUAAACUCACCUACAAUUAAGAUGUUUCAGGCAAAACCAUGACGUAUGGACGUAUACAUGGCUGUAUGUAUAGUUGUUAUGUUUAAAGACUCAAGCAGAACGUCACAGUUUAAUCUCUAUAAUUUUUAAGUUUAAGAACUUGAGCCAUACGGCACAUCUUGACUUCUUUCUUUCUUCCACGCUAGCCCUCCUCACUUGUUGCUCCGUUACUUGCACUUUAAAAAUUAUUAAACUAAUUAGUGUCCUCCUUGCCUUUUAUUCUCUGCUCUCACGCUCACCCAGUAGAAAAUUGAAAGUUAUCAUGUAAGUUGUGAAGCCUUGAUCAAACAAGCAUCAGCAUGUCUUUUUCUGGCUCCCAUUUGGUAUUAAUUUAUAACAUACUUGAUUUAAAAUACUUACCAAGUUGCUUAAAACAAAUGUAGAGUCGAUUUCAGACACCGGACGGACCACUAUGCUGUGCUUUUGUUUCUUCAACUGUUUGCCACGCGUUUGGAUGAGUUUUUAUUGAUGAUUCACUGUCUCCUCACAUUAACAAGGCUAGAAACAGAUGGACUCGUUCCAUUUGAGUGAUUUGCAUAUGAAAAGAUAAAAAGAAUGCAUGAUUACAUUAAUUCUGCAAUUUCCUAGUUUCUAAAGAUGUUUCGAAAAAGCCUUCUUGAAGCAUGAAGAAACCUUUGAAGACAAGAAAGAGAAGAUGCAAAGCUGGAGAGAUGCACUUAUUGCUGUAGCCAAUCUUGCUGGAUGGCGUUUGAAAGAUGGAGACGUAAACUAUUCUUCUUUUAACUAAUUCUUCCUGUUUGUACCAGAAAGUAUUUUUGCUUUUUCUUGUUCUAAAAAAUCAAUUGAAAAUAGAAAAGAAAAAGAAAUAUAACUGCAGACUCUUCCAUACACACACAUCAAUAACACAGAAUUUCAGAAACAAUAAUCUGGAGUGUACAUAUUAUUCAUUAUUAAUUACUAAUAGCUACCUUUAUGAGAAAAGUUCUAUAACCAUGGAAAGAAAUAGCUCUUCGUAAUUAAAUACUAGUACUUGUACUCAAACUAAUAAAAAGAUAAAACCUAUGAUCCAUUUUUAAUUUGAACUGUUUUGCUUUACCUCCUACAUAAAUGUUUCAUUUAUUUAUUUGCAGACCCGAAUCGGAAGUUGUUGAAGAUAUUGUAGGAAUGAGUUUCACUAGAUUAAACCAAACAAUUUUAAGUGAAUCCAAGGAUUUAGUUGCGAUAGAUUCUCGUAUAGAAGAACUGCUUUCUUUCUUAGAGAUAGGGUUGCUUGAUGUUCGUAUCAUAGGGAUUUGGGGGAUGAAGGGAAUUGGCAAGACAACUCUUGCAUGAGUAGUUGCUAAAAGAAUAUGUGCUCAGUUUGAAGUUACAGCUAUCUAGCCAUUGUUAGAGAGGCAACUGAAAAGCAAGAUCUAGAACAUUUACAAGAGCAACUUCUUUCAGACUUGCUGAAAAGCAAUGUAAAGAUACAAAAUAUUGAUAUGGAAGACAUAAUAGGGCAUAGACAACGUAAUAAAAAGGCUCUUAUUAUUGUUGAUGAUGUGGAUGAGGUUGAGCAAAUGGAAGCACUAUGUGAUCGGACUUGGUUUGGUCCAGGGAGUAGAAUCAUCAUAACAUCAACAGAUGAACAUGUGCUACGCAGAUAUGCAGACAAAAUAUAUCAGGUUAAGCUGUUAACUAAUGAUGAAGCUCUUCAGCUCUUUGGUUGGAAAGCCUUUCAAAACUUCAGGUUGAAGAAACUUUUCUCAAGCUAUCCAAGGACUUUUUAACAUAUGCUAAGGGCCUUCCAUUAGCUAUUAAAGUUCUGGGUUCAUUCCUCUGUAAUAGGCCACAAAAUGCAUGGUCAAGUGCAUUAGAUAGACUAAAAGAAAAUCCUGAGGAAAAAUUCAUUGAUGUCCUUAAAGUGAGUUUUGAUGGAUUAUCAUUAGAAACAGAAAAAAAAGUUUUUUUGGACAUUGCCUCUUUCUUUAAGGGAGAGAACAAAGAUCGUGUAAUAAGAAUAUUAGAAACUAGUUGUGGCUACCUUCCGGAAAUUGAUUUAGACAUUCUUAUGGAAAAAUCUCUAUUAACUCUAUUUGGAAGAAAUUUGUGGAUGCAUGAUUUGAUACAAGAAUUGGGUUGGAAAAUUGUUCGUCGAGAAUGUCGUAAGAGGCCUGGAGAACGUAGCAGGUUGUGGCUUUACAAGGAUAUCAUCCCUGUACUUGAAAAUAAUAAGGUAAGAAGUCAAAUGAGUACACACAGACUCUAAGAUUGUUAAAAUGUAUUUAUUAAAUCUUCUUUGUAUUUUGCAAUAACUUAUGCAGCAACUUAUUCUUGGCUGUUCUUUAUUAGGGAACCAGCGCAAUAGAAAGCAUAUUCCUCAAAUUGCCAAAAAAAGAGGAGGUUCUUGCACCAUACCAAAAAAAAAAAAGAGGUGAAUUUAAAUGUGAAUGCCUUCUCAAAGAUGGAAAAUUUAAGAUUGCUCAAGAUUUGGAAUGGGAACUUUCAUGGAAACAUUGAAUAUCUUUCUAAUGAGUUACAAUUUCUGGAAUGGCAUGAGCGUCCUUUAAAUUCUUUGCCAUCAGACUUUGAAUCAGACAAGCUUGUUGAACUCAACUUGUAUUCGAGCCGCAUUGAACAACUAUGGGAGGGAGAAAAGGUAAGAUCAUUAAUAUUAAUCUUAUGUAUGUAUUAUUAAAUAUAUGUUAUAAACUAGAAGUAGAUGCAGAGCUAUGCUUUCCAAUUAUGCAUUUUAAAAUUAUCUUAUUGAAAGAAAUUUAAACAAAUGUAAAUAUAUUAUAUUUGGCAGUCUUUUAUUUCAUAAUAGCUUAAUGUACAAGAAAUGACUAUCAGGAUCUGUUUUGGUUUCGCAUCAGUUGUAUUGCGGGUUUGGACUUCUUUACUCUUGCCUAUGUCCAUGUUUCUCUGUGGUUUGUUAGUUUUUUCCUCUGACCAAAAGAAAAGAAAAGGAAAUGACACUAUACUGCAAAUCUGUAGAGAGCCUUCCGCCUUUCAUUAGCUUGGAAUCUCUUAAAAGUCUCACUCUGUCCGCCUGUUCAAGCCUCAAGAAGUUUCCUGACAUUGAAGGAAAUAUGGAAAGCUUAUUGGAGCUUAAUCUAGAUGGGACUGCCAUAGAAGAUUUACCUCCAUCAUUUGGACUUUUGACUGGUCGGUCUUGUUUGAAUUUAGGAGACUGCAAAAACCUUUCGUGUCUUCCUAGUAGCAUUAAAUAUUUGACAUCUCUGAAAAGCCUUAUUCUAGCAGGUUGCUCAAAACUUGAUGGCAUACCUGAGAAUCUUAAUUGUUUUGAAUUUCUGGAGAUGCUUGAUCUAAGUGGAACUGCUUUAAGCCAAACGUCAUCCUUUGCAGGUAUAAACAAUCAUCGUCGAUCGUUCGACAUUAGGCUUUUAUUUUUGGUGGUGGGGUGGAAGGGGAUCAUUCAUGUAUGUUCCCAAGAAUUUUAUUGCUUGCCUAAUUUUAUGCCUACUUUAUUCUCAGGUUUAAGUUCUUUGAAAAAUCUAAACUUAAGUGACUGCAAUUUGAUAGAGGGAGCACUUCUUAAUGGUCUUGCAAGUUUAUACUCAGAAAUAUUAAAUUUACGUGGUAAUAAGUUUGUUCAGCUACCUGAAAGCUUAAACAUCUGGACGUGAGCAAUUGUGGUAGGCUUCAAUUGAUGCCUAAGGAGCUUCCAUCAAGUCUUCAACAUCUGAGUGCCCAGGAUUGCACAUCAUUAAUAGGCUCUCCAAAUGAGUUCAAAAUAUGAGCUUCACCUGUCUCAGGAACAACUACUUUCAAUUGCUUCAAUUCUUCCCAAAAUCUAGAACAUUCUACCUUUAAUUAUACGAAACUGUGGACUCCAUCAUCAUCUGUCCUGGGAAGUGCUGAACAGAGUCUGAUAUAUAAUUUUCAAAUGCCAACUGAAAUUCUUCGAAAAGACUUUGAACUCUCUCUCUCUCUCUGAUUCGCGCGCAUAUGCACAAAGGCAUUAAAAAAACAGAGCCUCUGUGCUUUUCAUAACUGAUAAUCCUUUUUCUUUCAUGUUCACAGUUAUUAGAUUAUAGGUCACGUCCCAUACAGGCUGUUUGUAAUCUUGAAGGUAUUAUUCCAGAAUGGUUCACCAUGUAGUUAGCGGGAAUUUCAUCAAACUCCAGCUAUCUCAAGAUUUGAAGGAUGAUAGGAACUGGAUGGGGGUUGUCCUAUGUGUUGAGUUUUCAGUCAAGGGGACUCAUGAAUCUGAAGUGGAACUAGAACUAAUGAAUCAGAUUGAUUCAAAUUCAGAAACUUUUCACUUAUAUCAUUGCACAUUGGGGACUGAGGAAUUUGCAAUGGAACCAGACCUCCUUACCUCUGCCCAAAUGUUUCGCAAGUUCAUUACAUUUAAACCUCGGGUUUUUUGUGUGUUGUAUGUACCUUGUCUGCACAUUUCAGAGACGUUAAAUAAAUCAGUUGUGUUGUGGGCUUCAUUUAGAAUCGCUAUACCAUGCGUAAAGGUCCAGAAGUGUGGGAUUCGUCUACUAUACAAGCAAGAUGUUCCAGGGUUGAUCGAAACAUUCAUGCAGUAUUUUGAUGGUUCAAAGUGCAAUCUAAUCGGAGAUUAUGAAGCUAUAUUGGAAUCUGGAUGGUUUAAACUACUGGACAAAUUUUGGAGAUGGUAGAAUUUAAUUUUCUAAGAAGUAUAUACAUUACUUCUUAAUUUAAACUUGUUCAUCAUUGAUGUGACAUAGUAUUCAUUCUUCUAUGACUUCGUCUUUGAAUUUUUCUCUUGUAUUUGGUAUAUUUGAUUGCAGGGGGAGAUCAGUUCCAACUUCUGAAGAAAGCUCUGUAAAUCUGCUUUCUUCAGAGCUGUAAAGCUGCAAAGUCAACGACCCUUGAGAGGUAGCAGAACUCAGGCCCUCACCGUGAACACCUGCAGUACCCGACUGGAAGUGAUGAAAGAUUCAUACAAUAACCUGUUUGUAUCCUUUUUGCUAGCUGCAGCGUGGAGAAAUAAAAUUCGGUGAUGAUCCAAAGUCAUACAGUCAUAAGCACAAGCAUCAAAUCUUGGUUUGGCAUUUGACAGGAGGCAAAGAAGAGUUUGUAUUUGUUUGUUUAACUUGUAUUUAAGUACCUCAAUUCUUGUGAAUAAGGAAAUCAAAAUGUUGCGUUAUGAAACAGCACGGAUAUAACAAUACCUUCUACUAAAUUAUAUUACUAAACUAUAUUGCUACCAUAGAUUGUUGCUGUUAGUUUAUUAUACUCUCUCUCUCUCUUCUAUUAAGUGGUAUUUGUUCUCUUAAUCAAGGACAGACUAGUAAUUGAAUUCAAAAAUUGAAGGAAAGACAAAGAUCAUGCAUGAUACUUCCCAAUUGAAUUCAACAAUAGAAAUUGGUGUGAGGGUUCUCAUUUAUAAAUCCCUCCAUUUUGUGAUAUACUAAUUUGAAUUUUGAAUCACAUCAUCCCUAUGAAGUUACAUGAACUAAACUAGACAGAAGAAAACCAAAUAUAGUUUUACAAGGACAAUCAACAUUACAUAGUAACCUUAAAAAUAAAAAAAUAAACCAGAUCGAGCUACACAAAACAAACAACAAAUAGCUCAAAAGAACAGCACAACCUUAGCCACAACAAACUAAAGCAAAACGCAAAAACCCAAGAAAGCUUCAAGUUCCAGAAAAACUGAAACAGAUCGAUUUCAUGCAUGAAUAUUCCAUGCAAACACUUUUACGUUCUUACACAAUAAUAUUCUCAACAAUGGACUGUCUAGCGAAGAUUGCAUUUGGCAGGAAGCUGCAUGGCAAGGUUGGGGUCGAUGCCAUAGGAAGUCAAAAGGUUUGAGUAGUUCUUGAAGAAGCAAAGGCACUGGAAGUCUGCGAUGGAAAGAGCCGAGCAACACAGAGCUGAGGGAGGAAGAGGGUUUAGCCCACUCACUGAUGGAGCACAAGCAUUCAAACCCCCUUUUGUCAUGCGGCAAAAAGUUACCUGGACCUGCUCAUUGGCCUCAGGCCCAAUGGCCAGUGCCAAAAACAAUGCCACAAUAACCACAAGCUUUUUGUAUGCUGCCAUGUCUAUGAUCUUUGAUCUAUUCUCUAGUUUCUUGGGGAGUGAAAGAUGGUUUGUGGCCAUGGCCUUACUCUUGCACCAUAAGAUAUACAUUUGUAAAUCUGGACCAUUGAUUAAGUUGGUUCUUGUCUAAAUGUCCGGCCCAAAUUUACAGUCUGACAAAAUAAAUAUUUGUGACAAUAUAAGUCUAAUGAGAAAAACAUUACCAAUCCGGCACUACAUCAUCAUUUUAUACUUUAGCUUAAUUAUCUUUGUCACAUGCAUCUUAAAACAAAACAUUAAAUAUAAAACUGAAAUCAUUUUGGACUUAAGUUUAUACCAAUAAAGAAAAUAUAAUUAGUGAUCAUAUUUCAUUAUGUUUCGCUAUUUUUGGAAUACAUGGGAAAUGUGAAUGGGGGCAUAUUCUACAUUGUUAAUUAGAACUCUCGUGACAGAGACUUGGCGUAUUGGCGUUACUGUGGGCUGUAAAAUCAAGGAGGCACAUUGGUGGUGACAAGAGAUUGGCGUUUUGUGGGAAGCAAGCAUUAUCCAAAUCAAUCAAUUGUUUCCUACGUUAUAUUUUAAAGGAAUGUACAACUUGUAUUGUAUAAGUGACCUGUGACCCUUCAAAGCCUUUUCUCACUGUCACUUUCAUUUUGAUUCGUUCAUACUUGAUGGGGAACUAGGUUGAAAAGUCAUUAAUUAACACGACUAGAUAGACAAAAAAUGGCUAGUAUUUAUAGAUGACAUUUGUGCGCCAAAAAACCUAACACGAAGGAAAACAAGUGUUGGAAAAGAAGAAAAAAAAUUUCAUCGUUAUCGGAUUAAUGGUUUGAUUUGGUAAGGAAUAUAAAUUAUUGUUUUGUAUUUUUACAAACUGGAUUAUAACAAAUAAAUUCGGUGAAAAUUUGGGUUGAAUAUCAUCACUCAACGCAUUAGUAAUCAUUGCCAAACCAACUUUAUAAUAAAAAUACUUUUGUUAGAAGCACUUAUAAGCAGAAGUGAUUCUUUAAAAAACAUUCUCAAACGAGUAAUUAAGAAUAUAUAUAUCUAUGAAUCUAUAAAUAAAUCAUCCAUGGUUUGCUAGACUUAAGUAAUUUUUGUGGUUAAUUUGUUAAUGUUUGUGAUCUGAAUUGUAAUGUUUUUCAUUCUCAGUUGAAUCACUUUAUUCUGUGCCUUCAAAUGGGGGGGACCAGCAAUACAAAUCGAUACUGACCAAUCCGCCGCCCAUUCCUUGAAAAAGGCCAAGAUCAUCACAUCACAGUUUAUAGCACAACAUGACUUGCCACUAAUGACACAAUCUGCAAGUCACAAUCAACGGAAACGAGUAAUUAUUAUUAGUUUAGGCCACAACACAAGACAUUUGAGUGAUUUUAUGGUGGGUGCUAUAUAUUUAAUGAAGCAUUAAUAAUAAUCAGUCAAGUUUGAGAAAGGAUAACAUGAAAAUGAUGACAUAUAUAUUGGACAUUCUCCUCUCUCAAAAUGAAGAAAACAAGUUACGCUACUUAUUGCUUCUCAUUGCUGAUAGUGCGAAAAAGGUAGAUUACUUGGUUAGUUCGAGAACCAAAUCUUUAUAUGUAGAUGAUCUCGCUACUUAUUGCUUCUCAUUGCGGUUUUGCUUAAAAGAAAAAGAAAGAAGAUAUAGUCACCCUCGUUUGGUUCGAGUUGUGUAGCUGUUGUUUUGGGUUUUGAGGUUCUUUCCCCCUGUUUCAUAAAUAAAUAAAUAAAUAAAUAAAGAAGAUAUAAGUAUAUAUAGAUUCUAGAGAAGAUUUGUACCUCAAAAGCAAUAUAGUCGGUCAUAUUGUUCACAUUGCCAUUACGUGGGUUACCAUUUUGAUGUGGACAAAACCUGACCACGUAUUUGCUGUAUUACAGCAUGGCCAACCAACCUUUUUAUUUUUAUUUUAUAUUUUAUAACAAAGUGAGAUAACUUCAUUUAAACAAUAAUGUCAGAGUACAAAAAAAAAGACUGGACUUUAGUAAUGUAACAAGUGUGGUCUCAUUAAAACCUUGCCUUUAAAAAUCCCCAAAUGGAGGAAAAUUCGGUUAAGGAAAAAAAGUACCACUACAUCACAUCUAGUAUAAAAUUAAAUUAAGAAAAUAAUUUAUCAUUGGCCAAAACAUCAUAAAUCCAUGAAGGACCAUCCUUAAACCAAACUUGAAAGUCCUAAGACAAGAGCACCUGCUUAGCUAAUAGAUGAGCAACCUGGUUACACUCCCGAUGAGCAAAGUGACAAGAAAUAUGAGCAAAAUGAUUAAAAAGACCCCUGACUUCAUCCACUAAAGCACCCUCCACUGACCAACUUUGCUCAUAAUUAAUAUUAACUCUCAAUCUUCUAUCUUCUAUCUUCUAGGAAGAAUUAUAAAAGGAAAAUUCUACCAAUAUAAAUUCCUUUUUUUUUUUUUUCCAUUUAGCUGAACUUAAGUGUGGGAGGAUCUACCACAUUUUUUGUUAUUUCCUAAUAAAACUUGUGUUAGAGUUUGUAAACCUCUACAGAAGUUAUCAAUUGGUAUUUGUUUAGCACUUUAUUUGAAAAGGCACCAAGUUCGAAUUCCAGUGGCGGAUCCAGAAAUUUUUUUAGCGGAGGUGCAAAAUUGAUUAAGUAUGAAAAAUGGUUUACGGAAUAAUCAUUUUCUCAAGAUAAUUUUUGGCGGCUUUUAUUCCUUACACAUCAAAUAAGAAAACUUGAUUUUAUGAGAUUUUAGUAUGAAGUAUAUAUUGACUUAAUGAGCCAUCAUUUUUAGUCUAAAUCGUAUUUUGCACUAAAACCGAUUUUUCAUAUUUUGAUUUGAUAGGAAUUUGGUUUUCUAGUAUUUUUAUUUGAAUCCAAAUGGGAGGUACUUCCUUAUUUACAUUGUAAACUUAAGUAAAUGGAGUAAUAUAAAAAUAAAUUAAAGUAAAAGGCGCCUUAAUGGAUCCGCCUUUGUCGAAUUCUACAUCCUUAUAAAUAAUAAAAAAGCUAAUCAUCCCACUAAAACUCAAGCAAUUUUGUCUUUUGAGGUAAAAAUAUCAAAUCUUCUACUUAUAUAUAUAUAUAUAUAUAUAUAUUUUCAUCUAUUCAAAAUUGUUGAAGUUUAACAAGGGUUUAAGUUCAAGGUGCAAACAUAGGCUUAGUCAAGUAGACUAGAAUAUAUGUGCUCUCUACUUUGCACUAGAGUUCGGAUCAUGCUUCUCGUAGUUUAGAUUAAAUUAAAGUAGAAUAUCGUUAGUAUAUAAAAAAUAAAAAAAAUAAAAAAAAGGGUUUAAGUUUAGAGUUUGAGAAUUUAUUUUAUUUUAAAAAAGAAAAUUUAAUCGAACCAAAAAUGAAAGCAAAAUUUCAUUUAUUUAACUUGUAAUUUUACUGUAGUGUGUCCUGGAAAAUGGGUGUGAACGCCAAGUGAGAGAAGAUGAUGAGAGUUUGAAUAAUUCUUUGCUAAGAAAAGCAACACACAACACAAGUUUUUCAAAACACAAAGCAAAAAUCACAAAAUAAAAACAAAAAGAGGCGGGAGAGCGUUACGAGGCACAUAGCGUAGCGUGGAAUCUUUUUGAAAUCUCCCACUGGCGGCAACCAGUAACUUAGCAACACGUGUUGCUAAGCCUUACGUGUCAGUUCCUGAAGCCAUGCCCUGACCACACACGGGAAAGCGGGCGGGUCGGAUCACGCGGUGCUCUCUUUUGCUUUCCUACUCGUCUACACAAAACAACCCUUCAUUUCAACAGUAAUUACGAAACUGCCAUUUAGUUUCAAAAUCUGUUAAAUUUCUAACUAACUAGCUUCUUACAUAAAUUACAAGAUGAACAUGACCUGAUACAUUUUGGUUCCCAAGUUACUAUUUGAGUUUCAGAUUCAUAUAAAUAGAUGAUAAGAGAGUGCUGCUAACUAUUUAGCAAUAUAAACCAACAUUCUCUUCAAGUUUGGAGUUCUCUUGGCUACCAAUUGUAGUUGCUUGCAUUACUUACCAAUUUGAAGAACAAAAAACAGGUACUUCUGUCUCUUAAACAUUACAACAAUUUCUAUAAAAUUUAGGAUAUAUAUAUGAGAAUUAUGUAGCCAUUGGACAUCAUUUGUUUUCUCCACAUCAGUAUUUCUUUUGUGGUUAAAAGUUUCACUCACUAAAAUUAAUUUUUAGAUCAACUGAUGAAUAAGAAUGAAGUCGUGAAUCGCAUAAGUUGUAAGAAUAUGAUGAGAUGAAUGAGAAUGAGAUCAACUACUCCCUCUAAUCAAUCUAAUUCCUGAUUUUUUAAGCACUGGAUUACGAAUUUUAUGUAGAACAUAAGUAAGUUUUUAUUCCUUAUAAUUAGACACACAAUGAAAGUCGAGAAUUAAAAAACUCAUGUAUCAUGUCAAAAAUAAUAUCUUGCAACCCUUUUCUUGAUGAAUAAAUUUUUCAAAUAAGAUUCGAAAAUAUUUUUGGAAAAGUUCAUGAAGCUCUCUAUAUAUCUCUCUUUUGGGUUACAAUUCUUGUUAUUCAGAAUCAUUCAGAACCCACAAAAAGAAGAGUGGAUAAUUAUGACAUUUGAAUUUGGUGGGGGAAUGGGGAUAUCUUCUGUGUUGUGAUACAGAGAGGGUAUUUUGGUAAUUUCACCAAGUGGGCCCUCAAACAGCUUUUACCCUCUGUAACAGUGCUGCAAAGCAUCUCAAAAUCUUCAAAGAAGUUACCUUUUGGUUGUUUUCCCAUUUGAAACACUUGACUUGUGUUGCACUGCGUUUGCUUGCCAUUAUUACUACCAAAACAAGACUUUGGUAUCAAGACUCUGCCACCCUUUUUAAUAAUUUCAUUCAUUUCUUGGUUUUGUCUUGUCGAAACAAAAUCAAAGGUGGUUCCUUCACCUUGGUAACUGUUGCUUUGCGCGUUAAAACUGUGGAAGAGAGCCACAAAACACAGAGACACACAGAAAUAUAAGGCCUGAAGGGUUUUCGGGAAGGCACAGAGAGAGAGAGAGAGAGAAGGGACAUUGCUUCCCGCGUUUUCCAUGCCUAUUUCACUCAUUUCUCUCAUUUCUCUCAUGCGUGCAAGUUAUUCCUAAAAUCUAAAAUCUAAAAUCUAAAACCCAACCCAUCUUAUUUUCUUGGCCAUUAAAACUUUUAAUUCUCUUUAAACUUUUCUUCAUUCCUCAUUCACAUUUCACCUCAUCUCUCUCUCUCUCCUUGAUUUGCUUCAGUUCCUUUUUUUAAUCAAAACCCAUCAUCUAUUUUAGCGAUUUUAUUUGUUUCUCUUCUCUAUUUGCUCUCAAAGGUUCGAACGUUCUCUUUGUCUUGUUCUGGUGUUCUUGUUCGUUCUGGCCGGCUAGGUCGGUUUGGAAAAAGCUUAGCAAUAAAGUUUGGUGCUUUCGAUGCUUUUACAUCAUGAUUUGUGAUGGUGAAGUCUUAGAAGUUGAUUUUCUUGUAUAAAAAGUUGGAAUUCAUUGGUUUUGGUCAAGUGGGGUUGGUUCAAAUCUGCAACUUCAUUAAUUAGUUUGGCAGCAAAUCUGGGAUUGAAGAUUCCAUUUUGGGGUGCAAUUAAUGGUUUUUGUUUGGAAAUUAGCUCCUGCUUGACAAAAAGCCCAUUUCUUGUCUUUGAGAAUCGUAAUUACAAGGGAAAGCAAUUUGGCCAAGCUCUGAACUUUGAUUUGUGGGUUUUUCUGUUUUCUCUUGUUUAGAUCUGAAUUGAAGCUAUGGGAAGCCAUAUGAGCAAGAAGAGCUCUGAAACAUCAUCCUCUGCUAUCAAUCUCAACACCAAUUUACAAUACACAACUGAUCAAUUAAGCUCAUAUGAGGCAGCCUGCAAGGUUGAUGCAGAAUUGCAAUCCUUUGAUACCAAUCUCCAAACCAGAACCAAUCAAGUCAUCAACACAAUUGCAGCAGGAGUUGAAGUUCGAGCUCUCUCAUUUGAUUCAUUGAAGGAAAUCACAGAAUGCCUGUUGGAGAUGAACCAGGAGGUUGUGAAAGUUAUCUUGGAGUGCAAGAAGGAUAUAUGGAAAAAUCAAGAAUUGUUUGAGCUUGUAGAGGAGUACUUUGAAAACAGCUUGCAGACUUUAGAUUUCUGUACUGCAUUGGAGAAGUGUUUGAAGCGAGCUCGUGAUAGCCAAUUGCUCAUUCUUGUUGCUCUUCAACAGUUUGAGGAGGAAACCGAAAUGGGAGGCAGUCGAUACACGAGGACUUUGGGCGAAUUGAAGAAUUUUAAGGCUAUAGGUGAUCCUUUUACUGAAGAGUUCUUCCAAAUUUUUCAAUCUGUUUACAGGCAACAAAUACAAAUGCUUGAGAAGUUGCAACUAAGAAAGAACAAGCUCGAUAAGAAGCUCAAAUACAUCCACGCCUGGAGGAAGGUUUCGAGUAUUAUAUUUGUUGCUACAUUUGCUGCUGUGUUGAUUUGUUCUGUUGUGGCAGCAGCCAUGGCUGCUCCACCUGUUGCAGCAGCUCUGGCUGCUGCUAGUUCUAUCCCUGUAGGCUCAAUGGGGAAGUGGAUUGACUCUUUGUGGAAAAACUAUGAAAAUGCUUUGAGGGGUCAAAAGGAAGUAAUUAGCUCCAUGCAAGUAGGGACUUACGUUGCCAUAAAGGACUUGGACAACAUUCGGGUUCUUAUCGAUCGAUUGGAAGUUGAAAUUGAGUCCCUCUUGCAUAAUGCAAGCUUUGCCAUUGAGGAGGAUGCAGUUACAGUUGCAAUUGAGGAGAUUAAAAAGAAGUUGGGAGUGUUUAUGAAGAAUGUAGAGGAUUUGGGAGCUCAAGCUGAUACCUGCAGCCGUGACAUUCGAAGAGCAAGGACUGUGGUUCUGCAGAGGAUCAUAAAACAUUCCAACAACUAGAAGACCGAUGAUCCUCAAUAUUUAACCUGUUGCUGUUUUGAUGCUUGAUGACAUUUGAAUUUGUGUAACUUUCUGUUUUUUUAAUUAUAAUUAUCAUAUUUUUUCAUUCUUAGAUUGUACCUUGGAAUCCCAGACGAUUGGAUUGAUGUAUAAAAGAAAUAAUGUAAGAUUAUAUAGCGUUUCACACUUUAUCAAUGUUUAGGCAAGAACUGACUUGAAGUAGUUCCCAUUAUGAUUUUGUCUUCAAUUCAAUCAUUAUUUACUUGAUCUGAUGAAGUUUGGCUGGUCUGGUCUUUUGUUCCAAACAACCAUUGGAGUUUCUCUGGUCUAUUGUUCCAUAAACUUCCAUACCAGUGUGACCUCAUGUAUUUCAGAAUGUGGUGCCUGGAAGAUUAGAAGAAAUUGCCACUCAGAGGUCUCUUUUCAUGUUGAUUGCUCAUAUAGCCAUCUUUCUUCUGCUUAAAUCAUGCUUAAUUGUUACAAGUUGAGACUUGAAACUUCCAAGUUCCAAUAUGGGGCUUUUCUGAGUCACGUGAGCGAGAGGUUAUGCGUUCUCCUUUUAUGGUUGGUUUUCCAAGUGCCUGUAUAACUAAACUAACUGUAUGUAGUUCUUUUGUAUCCAUGACUUUUUUCAGGUAAUGAGGGAAACCCUCACGACUCAUUCAUUCCCGCCCAAAAACUUGCAAAUCACAUGUAUCAGGUAAAUUUAAGUAUUUUUACAUGGUCAAGUUCAAGGCAAAUAUAAUCUGUUUGAGUUUACGGUCCAAUGCUCACCUCUCUAAGCUACUUGUAUGGGUUUGUAUGCUCUCUAAGCUACCAAGUUAUUAUGUUAUUUUCUUUUCCCUGCAUACUUUUCUAUACAUAUAACCACAAUGAGUGCUCUAUAGAAUUCUCUUGUCCUAAUCUUAAUUGAUAGUUAACUACUCUUACCUCAGCAAAUAUUUAUAAUCUGUAAGUAAGAAAUCAGUUUAACAACAAUCCCUGCUAUAAAGAAUUCUCAUGUCCAAAUCAUGAUGGUGACUACUUAACCUCAGCCAAUAAUUAUAAUUAAUCUGUAAUUCAGAAAUAAGUUUACCAGAAAACCAUUAAUGAACAUAUGAGAAACUUGCACAUGUGAAGUGCAUAUAUUUUAAAAUUGCAUAUUCCUGACUUCUGAACAUAUGAUGUUGUAAUCUAGAACAAAAAUGAAAAUAAAAGAGGGGAACCUGUCAGACAACCCUGCCACCAUCCGAGCAAGAGAAGAGUGGCUGAGAACGAUCCUCUACUAACUGGAUGAUCCAAGGACCAUUAGAUUAUUGAUCAUGCCCUGAUCACACGGUCCUGUUUUGCUGGCUUAGAUCUAUAUUGAAGCUAUGGAAGGCCAUAUGAGCAAGAAGAGCCCUGAAACAUCUUCUGCUAUCAAUCUCGGUACCAAUUUAAAAGACAUAACUGAUCAAUUGGGCUCAGGUGAGGCAGCUUUCAAGAUUGAUUCAGGCUUGCAUUCCUUUGAUACCAAUCAUCAUAGCUACUGCAGGAGGUUCAAGCUCCCUCACUUCGUUCCUUGAAGGAAGCCAUAAAAUGUCUAUUGGAGAUGAAUCAGGAGGUUGUGAAAACUUGUCUUGGAAUGCAAGAAAGACGUAUGAAAAAAAUCAGGAAUUGUUUGAGCUUGUUGAAAAGUACCUAGAAAACAGCUAGCGGACCUUAGAUUCCUGUACUGCACUGGAGAAAUGUUUGAAGCGAGCUCGUGCCAGCCAAUCGUUCAUUCUUGUUUCUCUUCAACAAUUUGUGGAGGAAACCGAAAUAGGAGGCAAUCGAUACUCGAGGACUUUGGAGGAAUUGAACAAGUUCAAGGAAAUAGGUGAUCCUUUUACUAAAGAGUACUUCCAAAUUUUUCAAUCUGUUUACAUGCAACAAACACUAAUGCUUGAGAAGUUGAAACUUCCGAAGAACAAGCUUGAUAAGAAGCUCAAAAGCAUCCAUGCUUGGAGAAAGGUCUCUACUAUGAUAUUUGUGGCUAUAAUUGCUGCUGUGUGGAUUUGUUCAGCUGUUGCAGCAGCCAUGGCAGGUCCACCUGUUGCAGCUGCUCUGGCUGCAGUCUAUCCCUGUAGCCUCAAUGGGGAAGUGGAUUGACUCUUUUUUGAAAAACUAAGAAAAUGCUGUGAAAGGUUUGCAAUAGAGGAGAUUAAAAAGAAGUUGCCUCAACAUUGAACAAAACAUAAAAAGAGGGGAAACCUGUCAGACAACCGUGUGACCACCACCAGCCAAUCGUUCAUUCUUGUUUCUCUUCAACAAUUUGUGGAGGAAACCGAAAUAGGAGGCAAUCGAUACUCGAGGACUUUGGAGGAAUUGAACAAGUUCAAGGAAAUAGGUGAUCCUUUUACUAAAGAGUACUUCCAAAUUUUUCAAUCUGUUUACAUGCAACAAACACUAAUGCUUGAGAAGUUGAAACUUCCGAAGAACAAGCUUGAUAAGAAGCUCAAAAGCAUCCAUGCUUGGAGAAAGGUCUCUACUAUGAUAUUUGUGGCUAUAAUUGCUGCUGUGUGGAUUUGUUCAGCUGUUGCAGCAGCCAUGGCAGGUCCACCUGUUGCAGCUGCUCUGGCUGCAGUCUAUCCCUGUAGCCUCAAUGGGGAAGUGGAUUGACUCUUUUUUGAAAAACUAAGAAAAUGCUGUGAAAGGUUUGCAAUAGAGGAGAUUAAAAAGAAGUUGCCUCAACAUUGAACAAAACAUAAGAAGAGGGGAAACCUGUCAGACAACCGUGUGACCACCCCAGACAGAGAGGACUGACUGAGAACGAUCCUCUACGGUCGUGAUGAUCACAAGGACCACCAGACUGUUAAUCACGCUCUGAUCACACGGUCAUGAUUCAUCCACCAGGUUGGGAUUCCUGUCUCCUUAGAAAUCAAGGAUACAGAGGUACGAUUACUAUAGAACAGAUCCUGUCCAAGUAAGGUCGUGACCUCUCAGCGGUCUUCUGGGCAUAUGAAGCGCUUCGGAUUUUCGUAAAAUGCCGAUGUGGGACUAAUAACGAGACUUCUGUCCCUUUGAUCUCCCUGGUCUUCUGUUCAAUUUUUUAAUGGUUGGGCCCCGGAAAAGUGGCUGAGAACGAUCCUCUACUAACUGGAAGAUCCAAGGACCAUUAGAUUAUUAAUCAUGGCCUGAUCACACGGUCCUGUUUUUGCUGGCUUAGAUCUAUAUUGAAGCUAUGGAAGGCCAUAUGAGCAAGAAGAGCCCUGAAACAUAAGUUGCCAUUAAGGACUUGGACAACAUUUCGUGUUCAUAUUGACUGGUUGAAAGUUGACAUUGAGUCCCUCUUGCACAGUGUUAGCUUUGCCAUUGAGGAAGAAAGUGAAGGUAUGCACUAGAGGAGAUUAAAAAGAAGUUGGUAGUGGAUAUGAAGAAUGUAGAGGAUUUGGGAGCUCAAGCUGAUACCUGCAGCGGUGAUAUUCGAAGAGCAAGAACUGUGUUUCUGCAAUGAUAAAAAAACAAAGUGAAAAAAAGAAGGGGAACCUGUCAGACAACCGUGUGACCACCCCAGACAGAAGAUUGACUGAGAACGAUCCUCUACGGUCAUGAUGAUCACAAGGAUCACCAGAUUGUUAAUGUUAGCUUUGCCAUUGAGGAAGAAAGUGAAGGUAUGCACUAGAGGAGAUUAAAAAGAAGUUGGUAGUGGAUAUGAAGAAUGUAGAGGAUUUGGGAGCUCAAGCUGAUACCUGCAGCGGUGAUAUUCGAAGAGCAAGAACUGUGUUUCUGCAAUGAUAAAAAAACAAAGUGAAAAAAAGAAGGGGAACCUGUCAGACAACCGUGUGACCACCCCAGACAGAAGAUUGACUGAGAACGAUCCUCUACGGUCAUGAUGAUCACAAGGAUCACCAGAUUGUUAAUCACGCUCUGAUCACACGGUCAUGGUUCAUCCACCAGGUUGGGAUUCCUGUCUCCUUAGAAAUCAAGGAUACAGAGGUACGAUUACUAUAGAACAGAUCCUGUCCAAGUAAGGUCGUGACCUCUCGGCCAUGCUCAAGCUAUAUAAAGCGCUUUGUUGCUCUCUAAAUUGUCGAUGUGGGAUAAAAAAGGACUUUGUGUCUCUCUCUUUUAACGCGUGCAAGAAAG